rnacentral:rRNA from 1 species
UACGGAGGGUGCAAGCAUUAAUCGGAAUUAUUGGGCGUAAAGGGCGCGUAGGCGGGUAUGUAAGUCAGAUGUGAAAUUCCGGGACUCAAUUUCGGAGCUGCAUUUGAAACUACACAUCUCGAGGAUUGGCGGAGAGAACGGAAUUCCACGUGUAGCGGUGAAAUGCGUAGAUAUGUGGAAGAACACCGGUGGCGAAAGCGGUUCUCUAGCUUAUACCUGACGCUGAGGCGCGAGAGCAAGGGGAUCAAACAGG